GCUGACGAGUGGCGGACGGGUGAGUAAUGUCUGGGAAACUGCCUGAUGGAGGGGGAUAACUACUGGAAACGGUGGCUAAUACCGCAUAACGUCGCAAGACCAAAGAGGGGGACCUUCGGGCCUCUUGCCAUCAGAUGUGCCCAGAUGGGAUUAGCUUGUUGGUGAGGUAACGGCUCACCAAGGCGACGAUCCCUAGCUGGUCUGAGAGGAUGACCAGCCACACUGGAACUGAGACACGGUCCAGACUCCUACGGGAGGCAGCAGUGGGGAAUAUUGCACAAUGGGCGCAAGCCUGAUGCAGCCAUGCCGCGUGUAUGAAGAAGGCCUUCGGGUUGUAAAGUACUUUCAGCGGGGAGGAAGGUGUUGUGGUUAAUAACCGCAGCAAUUGACGUUACCCGCAGAAGAAGCACCGGCUAACUCCGUGCCAGCAGCCGCGGUAAUACGGAGGGUGCAAGCGUUAAUCGGAAUUACUGGGCGUAAAGCGCACGCAGGCGGUCUGUCAAGUCGGAUGUGAAAUCCCCGGGCUCAACCUGGGAACUGCAUUCGAAACUGGCAGGCUUGAGUCUUGUAGAGGGGGGUAGAAUUCCAGGUGUAGCGGUGAAAUGCGUAGAGAUCUGGAGGAAUACCGGUGGCGAAGGCGGCCCCCUGGACAAAGACUGACGCUCAGGUGCGAAAGCGUGGGGAGCAAACAGGAUUAGAUACCCUGGUAGUCCACGCCGUAAACGAUGUCUACUUGGAGGUUGUGCCCUUGAGGCGUGGCUUCCGGAGCUAACGCGUUAAGUAGACCGCCUGGGGAGUACGGCCGCAAGGUUAAAACUCAAAUGAAUUGACGGGGGCCCGCACAAGCGGUGGAGCAUGUGGUUUAAUUCGAUGCAACGCGAAGAACCUUACCUGGUCUUGACAUCCACAGAACUUUCCAGAGAUGGAUUGGUGCCUUCGGGAACUGUGAGACAGGUGCUGCAUGGCUGUCGUCAGCUCGUGUUGUGAAAUGUUGGGUUAAGUCCCGCAACGAGCGCAACCCUUAUCCUUUGUUGCCAGCG
rnacentral:rRNA from 1 species